rnacentral:rRNA from 1 species
UCGAACGGAUCCUUCGGGAUUAGUGGCGGACGGGUGAGUAACACGUGGGAACGUGCCCUUUGGUUCGGAACAACUCAGGGAAACUUGAGCUAAUACCGGAUGUGCCCUUCGGGGGAAAGAUUUAUCGCCAUUGGGGCGGCCCGCGUCUGAUUAGCUAGUUGGUGGGGUAAAGGCCCACCAAGGCGACGAUCAGUAGCUGGUCUGAGAGGAUGAUCAGCCACAUUGGGACUGAGACACGGCCCAA